UACGUAGGGUGCAAGCGUUGUCCGGAAUUAUUGGGCGUAAAGAGCUCGUAGGCGGUUUGUCGCGUCUGCUGUGAAAACCCGAGGCUCAACCUCGGGCCUGCAGUGGGUACGGGCAGACUAGAGGUUCGGUAGGGGAGACUGGAAUUCCUGGUGUAGCGGUGAAAUGCGCAGAUAUCAGGAGGAACACCGGUGGCGAAGGCGGGUCUCUGGGCCGAUACUGACGCUGAGGAGCGAAAGCGUGGGGAGCGAACAGG
rnacentral:rRNA from 1 species